rnacentral:rRNA from 1 species
UGGGGAAUAUUGCACAAUGGGCGCAAGCCUGAUGCAGCCAUGCCGCGUGUAUGAAGAAGGCCUUCGGGUUGUAAAGUACUUUCAGCGGGGAGGAAGGCGAUAAGGUUAAUAACCUUGUCGAUUGACGUUACCCGCAGAAGAAGCACCGGCUAACUCCGUGCCAGCAGCCGCGGUAAUACGGAGGGUGCAAGCGUUAAUCGGAAUUACUGGGCGUAAAGCGCACGCAGGCGGUCUGUCAAGUCGUAUGUGAAAGCCCCGGGCUCAACCUGGGAACUGCAUUCGAAACUGGCAGGCUAGAGUCUUGUAGAGGGGGGUAGAAUUCCAGGUGUAGCGGUGAAAUGCGUAGAGAUCUGGAGGAAUACCGGUGGCGAAGGCGGCCCCCUGGACAAAGACUGACGCUCAGGUGCGAAAGCGUGGGGAGCAAACA